UGUUGAGGUACACGUGGCCUCUCCUCCCCAGGAGGUAACAGUGUAGCGAAGGAGAGAUGACAGGUGACAGUGUAGCGAAAUAAAGAUGACAGGUAACAGUGUAGAGAAAGAGAGAUGACAGGUGACAGUGUAGAGAAAUAAAGAUGACAGGUAACAGUGUAGAGAAAGAGAGAUGACAGGUGACAGUGUAGCUAAAUAAAGAUGACAGGUAACAGUGUAGCUAAAUAAAGAUGACAGGUAACAGUGUAGCAAAAAAGAGAUGACAGGUAACAAUGUAGUGAAAGAAAUAUGACAGGUAACAGUGUAGCGAAAAAGAUGACAGGUGACUGUAGCAAAA